rnacentral:rRNA from 1 species
GACGAACCGUGCGAACGUUAUUCGGAAUCACUGGGCUUAAAGCGCGUGUAGGCGGGCCGGCACGUCCGAGGCUGAAAUCCCCCGGCUCAACCGGGGAAGGGGCCCGGAUACGACCGGCCUGGAGGGGGGUAGGGGGCGCCGGAACUUCCGGUGGAGCGGUGAAAUGCGUUGAGAUCGGAAGGAACGCCCGCGGCGAAAGCGGGCGCCUGGACCCCACCUGACGCUGAGACGCGAAAGCCAGGGGAGCAAACGGG